CCCAGGUGGGGUGGGUGGCGUGCUCUCUGGGGCAACAGGUGCAGUGUGGGGGUGCACCCAUAGCUGCUCCUUGUCGGGAGGCCUCGGGGAGCUAACGGCUGUCACCUAGGGACCGUGGACAGCUCCCAGCUGGCCCUCAUCAGCCGCUCCACGUCACUCUUGCCCCCUGGUGGCCUCACUGAGAGCAGCCGCCCCCUUCCAACCACAGCGGUCACCAGCCGGCCUCGCUCUGGGCGUGUGUUUGCUUUGAUCAUGUGUCUCUGAGGACCCAGGGGCGACUUUGGACCCACCUUUCCAUCUAUGCAGCUGCCUGUCCUGGGAGCCUGGACUGCGCCCUGAAGAGGCGGGCACGGUGCCCCCCAGGCGCGCAUGUCUGUGGGCCCUGCCUUCAGCCCUUCCAGGAAGACCAACAAGGGCUCUGUGUGCCCAGGAUGCACCGGCCCGUGGGUACGGGAGAGAAGGAUGUGCUUCCCCCCUCCGCUGCCCUGAUACGUUUGCCACUCAGCCUCCGCUCCUGGGUCCCCUGAGCUUCCUUGGGUGCCGGAGACGUGUAUGUCUCCCAGUGGCCUGGGGAUUUUUCCGAAGAGCAGCAGCCCAGAGCCUGGCAGCGGGCCGAGGUGUGGGGCAGUUAGCCCCUGCCACGGCAAGGGGUGUCCAGUGUGAAAUGCUGGGGUGAUCCCAGGAGGGAAGGAGUCAGAGUUCCCCAUCCCCCCACCCCGGGCUACCUGGGCCCCCUGCCCUGUGUGGCCUCUUUCUCCAUGGCUCACUCUUCCUGUGCAAUCCGUGUGCCUCACCCGGCGAUCUGAGCCCAGAAUGUCUGGACAGCCAGCCAGAUGCUGAAUGACUUCAGGUGUGAUGGGGCAUUACAGAGGGAUGCUGGGGGUGCGGAAGUCAGCUGGGGCAGGAGGACCUUCCUGGAGGAGGAGCACAUUCCUGGCAGUGAGGGGGACCGGGGAAUGAGAUGGACAGGCCUGCUUUAGGCUCUGCAGAGUGUCUCCUGGGAGCCUCUGUCUGGACUGUGGGGCCUGUGGCAGAGACAAGGGGGGCCCAGCCACCAGCCCCAUCCCGACAGCUGCUCUCAGUUCCUACUGAUUAACUAGUGGGGGUGGGGGGGACAGAAUGGGGCCUAUCCCCUCUCCUUCCUGUCUUGGGAGAGAAGGGGUGGAGUGAUGCAUGGGCAACAGGUAGGGUGAGGGGCACCCCUUCCCUUUUCCUUCUGGCCUUUACGCAUUCCCCUGACACCUCCACUCCAUUGCCCCCCACCCCUACUUUC
rnacentral:lncRNA from 1 species